AGGCCUACACACUGAAGAGCACGAUAGCUCCACUAUUUCAUUCCUGCACCGCUUUACAGCUACCUGUGAUCAGGAUCUGUAGGAUGAGCUGCAGGACCAAUGUCUCACACACACACACACACACACACACACACACACACACACACACACACACACACACACACACACACACACACACACACAGGUCUGUUCACAUCUGCCGCUUUUGAAGCCAGUGAAAAGGGCGAGUUCGGUGAAUUGUCAGAUGCACAAACGCACGACCACAAGCUGUUUUGUUGCAUUUGAGCGGAAGCGAGUUGAAUGGAGGAGUUUUAUGAGUGAAAGGUGAAGUUGGGUGAAACAACACACACACACACACACACACACACACGCACACAAGCACAUGUGAAGGCAGGCAACUGCCUUUGAAGCAGCCUCAUCCAACUGUCCCAUGCAUGCUUGAGUGAUGUCAGCGCGACUAUGGCAAGACAGACAGACACACACACACACACACACACACACACACACACACACACACACACACACACACACACACACAUUCCAACUUUUGCUAUUUAGCUAUUUUGUCAAACAAACACAAACACACUGUUGCUGGAACAUAAAACACUGACGCGGACUUUACGUUCCUCUUUCUUACACACACACACACACACACACACACACACACACACACACACACACACACACACACACACACACACACACACACACACACUUGGCAGGAUGUGAGGGGAGAAAAAAGGGGCCGAAAGACAACACCGAGAUUAGGAGGCUUUUGUCACGGCUCUGUGGCAGACUUUAAAGUUCUUGGCUCCGUUCCCCGCUGCCAGAUUUCUUUCUUUUCUCACCCUGUCUGUCCACAUCCCUCUCUUUUCACGGGGUGGAAGGUAAACAUUUGGAACAGAAUGACAGAGAAAGGGAGCAGGGCUGGGAGGGACUGCGGGCUGGAAGAAGGAUGGAAGUCGCCUGUUGCCCCUUUUUAGCCUCUUUUUGUGUCUUUGUUUUCCCAGAUUUAAAGGCGGCUUUGUGGUUGUGAGGACGAGGAGCGUGGAGCGGGUGAGGUUCGCAAACAGAACAGCGCCUCAGUGCCGGCCAGGUGUUGGGUUGUUCCACAGUGUGAGUCCAGCGUGUGUCCACCACCACCAGACUUCAGGCACCGCUCCUUGCGACCAACGUCAGCUGAACCAACGUCAAUUCAUUCUCGGCAUCUUUCAAAGGCUGCAUCUGCAGCACAACACGGUCCCGGCCUGAAUUCCCUUUGAAGCGCGGCCGAACAAGCGGCCCUUGAGGAUCCGGCAGGUGAAGUGCUUCAUCUGCACUGCUGUCCCAGGCUCUGUGCUUCUGCAGAACACAGAAAGCGCAUCUGUUGAGACACAGCUUGGGUCUCUGCCAGCCUGAAUCAGAGCGGCAGAGACAGAGAAUGGGCCUUCACACCCUCUAACCGCACGCAACGCUUGUCCAUCCGUCAUCUCUCCGGACAGACGCGCUGACAGACGAAACAGCGGCUGCAGCUCUCAGUUCAAUGGCUCCGUCUAUUUAGAGCAGGACGUUCACUUAGAACCAGCCGCCGUGCGGCUGUGAGGAACUGAAACUGACGGCGCUGCGUUUGAACUCCUA